rnacentral:rRNA from 1 species
GGGAACGUGAGCUGGGUUUAGACCGUCGUGAGACAGGUUAGUUUUACCCUGCUGAUGAAGUUAUCGCAAUGGUAAUUCAACUUAGUACGAGAGGAACCGUUGAUUCAGAUAUUUGGUUUUUGCGGUUGUCUGACCAGGCAGUGCCGCGAAGCUAUCAUCUGUUGGAUUAUGGCUGAACGCCUCUAAGUCAGAAUCCAUGCCAGAAAGCGAUGAUAAAUUUCCUCACACAUUUUUGAUAUAGAUAGGCAUUUUGCCAGUAUCAGUAUAUUUGGACGGGUGGGGGCGAACGGAAGUGUUCGUCUCUGUCCAUUAACAUAAUAUAAAAUAUGCGUGAGGGUGAAUCCUUUGUAGACGACUUAGUUGAGGAACGGGGUACUGUAAGCAGUAGAGUAGCCUUGUUGUUACGAUCUGCUGAGAUUAAGCCUUUGUUCCCAAGAUUUGU